UUUUUUUUUUUUUUUUUAGUGACAGUUGUAAGAGCGUUAAAAAAGGGGGGGGGCGUGCUGACAAAUUUAUCUGUGAACACUUGAAUACACUUGGCUCUCCAUGUCCAUGAGUUCCGCAUCUGCAGAUUCAACCAACCAGAGAAUGAAAACAUUUCCAGAAAAAAAAAAGAAUUCCAGAAGGUUCCAAAAAGUAAAACUUGAAUUUGUCAAGGUUACAAACUAUGUUGUAUUUACAGCUGUUUACGUAUCAUUUACAUUGUAUUAAUGGUAGUAUCAGUAAUCUAGAGAUGAUUUAUAGAUAUGGGUAGGAUGUACUGUUAAUAUACAAAUACCUUACCAUUUUAUGUAAGGGACUUCAGCAUCUGCCGGUUUUGUUGUGUUGGGACUGAAAGUCCUGGAAUCAGCCCCAUGGAUUCCAAGGUAUGUCUGUAUGUUAAGACAAUGGAGAAGAGGAAACAUUGGCGGACUCUUAGAAUGAUGGCCUAAAUACUUUUGUAAUUUGGAGCCCAGAUUUCAUGAUUUGAGUUUCAUGUUGGAAACUUAAUAGAGAAAGAAGGUCAUUGUUCUCUAAAGUUUUUUCUUAAGGCAAGACAACAUUCAUUAUCACUGUAUGACAUACUUCUCUGUGCUUUUAAGACGAAGUACUGGGAGUUCCUGUCGUGGCUCAGUGGAAACAAAUCUGACUAGUAUCCAUGAAGACGCAGGUACAAUUCCUGGCCUUGCUCAGUGGUUAAGGAUCUGGCGUUGCUGUGAGCUGUGGUAUAGGUUGCAGACGCAGCUCAGAUCUGGCAUUACUGUAGCUGGGUCGAAUCGGAGCUGUAGCCACCGGCCUACGCCAGAGCCACAGCAACGCAGGAUCCGAGCCGCGUCUGCAGCCUACACCACAGCUCAUGGCAAUGCCGGAUCGUUAACCCACUGAGCAAGGGCAGGGAUCGAACCCGCAACCACAUGGUUCCUAGUCGGAUUCGUUAACCACUGUACCAUGACGGGAACUCCCCAUUUUUUGUUUCUUAUGUAGUAACUUCAAGAGCAAGAAGGUGUUUAGCAGAGUGCCUGGUACAUAGUAGGUGGUUGGUAAAGGGAGGCUGAACAAAUGUAUCCAUUGAAAGUAUUUAAAUUAUAGUAAAAUUAUGCAAAAAAUUAUGAGGGCAUUCUCUACAUAUAUAUUUUCCAUUAAAAGAAAUGACAUGUGGAGUUCCCUCUGUAGCACUGCAGGUUAAGGUGUUGUCUCUUUGGUGGUACAGGUUCGAUCCCCAGCCUGGUGCAGUGAUCCUGUGUUGUCACAGAUGUGACGUAAGUUGCAGCUGAAGCUUGGAUUUGAUCCCUGGCCCAGGAACUUCCAUAUGCUGCAGAUGUGGUCAUUAAAAAAAAAAAAAAAAAAAAAAAAAAAAAAAAGGAGGAAAGGCUUAUGCUCUCUAAGUCUGAAAUGAUCUCAAAAUAUAAAGUUUAAAACAAAACAAAACUCAGUUCCCGUCGUGGCUCAGUGGUAACAAACCUGACUAGUAUCCAAGUGGACAUGGGUUUGAUCCCUGACCUUGCUCAGUGGGUUAAGGAUCUGGCAUUGCCAUGAGCUGUGAUAUAGGUCACAAACGUGGCUCAGAUCCUAUGUUGCUGUGGCUGUGGCAUAGGCCAGCAUUUGCAGCUCCAGUUCAACCCCUAGCCUGAACUUACAUAUGCCUCGAGUGUGGCCCCCAAAAGACAAAAAUUAAAUUAAAGAGGGUACCUUAAAAAAAAAAAAAAAA
rnacentral:lncRNA from 1 species